rnacentral:rRNA from 1 species
GUGGGUCGCCCUCCUUAUGUUGAGAAGGGCCGGUCGCGCUGUGGCACCUUCUGUGACUACUGCUCCAGGCUAGGUCACCCAGAGUCUGAUUGUCAUCAGAAGCAGCGAAACCAGAGGCGCUCCUCUUCCAGUGGUGCUCCCGUGUCGUCAUCAACUCCGUCACUCACCGACCAGGACAUUGUGCGGCUCAAGCGCCUUCUGGCUUCCUCCGGCUCUUCAUCGACGGGUUCUGCUGCUGUUGUGACUGCUUUCACCACUUCAUCACCGCCGGCAUCUACACCGUCAGGUACUGUUGGAAAUAUGCCCUAG